rnacentral:rRNA from 1 species
AGCCUGAUGCAGCAACGCCGCGUGAGGGAUGACGGCCUUCGGGUUGUAAACCUCUUUUAGCAGGGAAGAAGCGUGAGUGACGGUACCUGCAGAAAAAGCGCCGGCUAACUACGUGCCAGCAGCCGCGGUAAUACGUAGGGCGCAAGCGUUAUCCGGAAUUAUUGGGCGUAAAGAGCUCGUAGGCGGUUUGUCGCGUCUGCUGUGAAAUCCCGAGGCUCAACCUCGGGCCUGCAGUGGGUACGGGCAGACUAGAGUGCGGUAGGGGAGAUUGGAAUUCCUGGUGUAGCGGUGGAAUGCGCAGAUAUCAGGAGGAACACCGAUGGCGAAGGCAGAUCUCUGGGCCGUAACUGACGCUGAGGAGCGAAAGGGUGGGGAGCAAACAGGCUUAGAUACCCUGGUAGUCCACCCCGUAAACGUUGGGAACUAGUUGUGGGGUCCAUUCCACGGAUUCCGUGACGCAGCUAACGCAUUAAGUUCCCCGCCUGGGGAGUACGGCCGCAAGGCUAAAACUCAAAGGAAUUGACGGGGACCCGCACAAGCGGCGGAGCAUGCGGAUUAAUUCGAUGCAACGCGAAGAACCUUACCAAGGCUUGACAUAUACCAGAACGGGCCAGAAAUGGUCAACUCUUUGGACACUC